AUUGAACGCUGGCGGCAGGCCUAACACAUGCAAGUCGAACGAGUGGCGCACGGGUGAGUAAUGUCUGUGAAACUGCCUGAUGGAGGGGGAUAACUACUGGAAACGGUAGCUAAUACCGCAUACCAUCUGAUGUUCCCAGAUGGGAUUAGCUAGUUGGUGGGGUAACGGCUCACCAAGGCGAGGAUCCCUAGCUGGUCUGAGAGGAGGACCAGCCACACUGGAACGGAGACACGGUCCAGACUCCUACGAGAGGCAGCAGUGGGGAAUAGUGCACAAAGGGAGCAAGCCUGAUGCAGCCAUGCCGCGUGUAUGAAGAAGGCCUUCGGGUUGUAAAGUACUUUCAGGGGGGAGGCGUUAGCCGCAGAAGAAGCACCGGCUAACUCCGUGCCAGCAGCCGCGGUAAUAC
rnacentral:rRNA from 1 species